rnacentral:lncRNA from 1 species
GGAUAAGAUAACUGGCUAGCCCCAAAUCAGAUUUUGCUGUUAGAGAAUUUUUUCCUUCUAUUUUUUUAGAUAGUUAAGGAAGCCAACAAACAUCUGCUGUAAGACACCAGGAGUCAAAGAAGUUCAUCCAAAAUGAAAUGGAUGAGUUACUGCUCUUCAAUUCUAUUCUUAUUUCAUUAGUAAAAAGAGACUCUAUUGUUUUUUUAUUGUUGAAAAUGGUUGUGGAAGAAGAAAUACUUCUAUAAAUGAAAGGAUUUUUGUAUAAUUUUCUGUUAGAAAAUAUCUGAUCAGCUGAUUGUCUUCAGACUCCAGAUUUCCACUGGCCAAAUACUAUUUAUCUUCUUGGAAGACUCUGGCAGGUUUUCUCUUCUUAGGAAAUGAGUUGGAAAACAACAGUGAGACUUCAAAGCAAGGCUCAGGGUUAUCUGCUGAUUUAUGAGAUGACUAUUCUCAUCACUUAUCAGAACACUGAGUCCUUCCUGCGGAACUGCAAUCCUAGUAUGUAAAUAGAAUGGAGGAACUGCUGGGUAUCAUAUUCAGCGUAAGAAACAACUCUACUGAAAGGGCCAUAACAAACGAGUCCUAAAGGCUGCGUGUGGUACGGUUGAAUGUCUGCUGAAUAUAAAGUUUUGGAGGCUUGGAAACAACCUUGGUUCCCUUAAUUUAUGCUCAGCGUUAUACAUUCCAAGUUAGGGCACUAUCUCUCUCUCUCUCAAGUUUCUAUUGAUUUUCCCCAUUUCUCAAUUCCCUUGCUCUCCCUAACUGAGAGUAAGAGUAAAUAGAUCUCAUGCUGAUUGUGCCUCUGUCUUGUUGUCUGAGCCUAAAAAAGUUAUAGAACCUCAAUAGUCCUUAAUUUUCCCACUCCUUAAAUGGGAAUCAUUGUUCAGGAAAGCUCAUAGUAAUAAAAAUUAACAAAAUAGCAGUCCAGAUGCUGCCCACAAAGAUUCUGAUGUAGGAGAUCUUGGUGAAUUUGGAAAGAAAAUAGAAGUAAAUAUAUAUAGAAAGAAAUAAAUACAUAGAGGGCUCUCUAGAUGACUUUGAUCUUGAGCCGGUUUCAGGCACUACUGGACAAUAUUAGAUGACCUCUGAGGUGUUUUAUAGACUUAUGAACAUGAAAUCUAUUCUAUAAUAAUAGAAAAUUUUGAUGUGAAAUAAUUUCCUCACCUCGAGGUUGCCAAUUUCUCAAACAGCAACUUCUGAAUGUCCUUGGUAAUAUUAAAUAGCCACUCAUCUCAGUGAGAAUGGAGCAAUGAGAGAACAGAGGAAAAAAUCAAAUUAACUAAACUGGCUUUUGGGAAAUGCUCCAGCGACUCUGAGCAGAAUGAACUUUUGGUUUCUCCUCAGUUACGUUGUUAUGUAAAUGUAUCAAUUGGGAUAUCAUCGAAAUAUAGUUGUAUUAGAAGGAUAAGUGAGAGAAGCUUAACCAAGAGACUGUCUCUUUAAAUGUGGACAGUGGGAAGAGAAGUCCAAAACUGAUGGCUCUGUAAAGAAUGGGGAGGGAACCAAUAUUAGCCUCUAGAGAUUUGAGGUUUCCCAGUUAGUUGUGUGGCCUUUUAGGAGAGGUGCAAAGCCAACCUGCAGUAACCUCGCAGGGAGAAGUUCAGCGGCUGAAUCCCUGGCCUCAACCCUCUCUUCUUCCAAUGUCCUGUCGGUAUCACCAAUCUCCCAUUGACUGACCCCAGACAGGAGAGGAAUGGCAAGGAUAAUGCAAAGCCUACUUCACAUUAGUCUCCUGGGGAUACAGAGCAAGAUGUCAUAGGAUGCUGAGGGAGAAAAUGUGAUUAACCCGCACAAAGACCUAGCUCUGCCCCUGAGGUUUCAAACUUACAUAAUAGACACUGAAUCUUCUUUAAAUGUUCCUUACUUAAGUCACAUGCAUCCUUCCUAUUUUAGCUCCUAUUUUAACUCAGCUCAGAUGUUUUCUAUCCCUUAUAGUUGUCCCUGACUCUUGCCCACAAGCUGUAGCAAGCCCUUCUAAGAAACAACUUUCAUGAUUGCUCUUUUUACAUCAUGUUUUAGGCCCAUGAUUAAAUUAUGAUUGAAUCUCUCAUUCUGAAUAAUCUAUGUCAAAGUGUCCUUGAGGGUUUUGGUUGAGUCAAACUGAGGGGUCUGACAGAUCAGACUGUUAACUUGGUUUACACUGAGAUAUAACAUCAUCUACGGCUCAUGUGUUCUUUCUCCCUUUGUCAAAAUGUCCACCUGAGGAAUUCCUCUUGUGGCACAGUGUCGGAUUUGUUAACCACUGAUCCACGACAGGAAUUCCAGGGAUUUUUUUCUUAAAACAAGCAAGGAAGCCACAGCAAAUGAGGUCACAAUCCCAACCUGAGAUUCCCAAAUACUGGGAAAAUCUACAACCUGAAAAUGUAUAGAUUUGCUCUUACCCCACCUCCCCCCAGGAAGAGGGCUCUCUUCCUGCAAAUAAAAUGCUUUAAGUUAUGAAACUUUGGUUCAAUUCGACUCUGCCUCCUUUUUGCCCAGUGAAACAGGCGGCUGAUGGAAAACCAAAGUUCAGGGCCCAACUUUUCUCAUUUGGUAACUUUCAUUUCCUAAUAAUAUUGGAUAAUUAACAAAUUGUGUGUUCUAAUGCUCUGUCACUUCAAGAGCAUUUGGGGAGAAUACUUCUUGUGUCUACUGAGUAAUGGCUCAAAUGAAAGAACACGAUCAAGAGAAUGCUUUAUCACUGUGCAUAAAACAUACUGAAUAUUUAUGAUUUUAAUUGCUACACACCAUGUGCAUACCUGUUUGGAGAAUUAUAUAGAUCUUUAAAGGUCAAGCAAGAGAAUGAUUUUGUGACUUUAUAAUUCAUGAUUAACAAGUCAUUGAAAAUUUCUAUUAACUCAAAAUGGAAAUUCAUAGAAAUUCUUAAAAAAAAAAAAAA